rnacentral:rRNA from 1 species
CGAACCGUACAAACGUUAUUCGGAAUCACUGGGCUUAAAGGGUGCGUAGGCGGCCAUGUAAGUGAGGUGUGAAAUCCCUCGGCUCAACCGAGGAACUGCGCUUCAUACUGCAUGGCUUGAGGGAGACAGGGGUAAGCGGAACUGAUGGUGGAGCGGUGAAAUGCGUUGAUAUCAUCAGGAACACCGGUGGCGAAAGCGGCUUACUGGGUCUCUUCUGACGCUGAGGUACGAAAGCUAGGGGAGCGAACGGGAUUAGAUACCCCGGUAGUCCUAGCUGUAAACGAUGAGCACUUAUCUGGGGAUCCUCCCAUAGGUUCCCGGAUGUAGCGAAAGUGUUAAGUGCUCCGCCUGGGGAGUAUGGUCGCAAGGCUG